rnacentral:lncRNA from 1 species
CCUACUGUAAGCAUCAAUUUUUCGCUUCCAUGUUUUGGAUUUCAUUUGAAUUAUCACUCGAAGAGCAUCGGCAAAUGAAUGAUUCAGAGGAUCAAAUCCCAUACCUAUAACAUUUUUGACAGCUUUACUAAACUUUUCAGAAUUUGUGCAUACAGUGUUGGGGCAACUGGUAAUCAAAAUAGAGGUGGUAGAAUGACGCCUUCCGAGCUCCCUUAAGACUGAUAAAUUGACAGGCAAGUGUUCCUUGACAUAGCACAUAUUGAAUGCGGACAUGCGUUUCAAUAUAAUAAGCACUUUCUCAUCAGAAAAUAACAAACUUUUAAGAAAAUCAUAAAAUGGGACCAAAAGAUUGUUCAAGCUGCUAGACAAGAAAAUUGGAUUCCUAGAUAUCAUCACCGGAAGGUCUGGGCCAGAAACCCCUACAGACCGUAAAAAUUGAAUCUUUGGCAAUAUUGUCUUCUCGGGAUCGUAUAAAAUCAACUUGGGCACUCUCCUAACAAUUUGGGAAAUCUGGUAUUUGGUGAGUCCAUGGUCUUUGAGAAGACUAAGGACAGAAUCUGGUCUUUCAGGGUUUUCAAACUUUACGUACUUUGAAACAAGUUUAGCAGAUUCUGACGAUAAGCCACAUGAGUUGACGAGAUAGGACACUGUAAAAGAGUGUUGAUUAGAUUUAGAUGAGAAGUACCUGACUGUAAGCAGCUCUUUAAAAUGAAUAAUACCCAAUAGGGUAAUGUUUGAGUCUAACAGAACAUGACUCCAAUCAUUUAACGCCAAUCUUCCACUGAAGAAACGGAACAUCGUAUGAAAGGCCAACUCACCGAGUUGAGAAAGGAAAGAGGUGGAAUUGGAUGUUUUGCUUUAUCUCCCUUGUAAAUCAGUGAACUAUAAAUCCAGAAUACGAUUUUACCCAGAAAACCAUUCAACAAUACGAAAAUUUAUGAGAAGUCGACAGCAAAAGAGCCAAUGGUUGCCUGCUCUGCCUCCGCACCGACAGUUGAAGAUAAAUUCAGUCUCUUUGGGUUUUAGGGUAUUGCAGUUGCAAGUAGGCAUGGCCACCGGUUCGGUUCUAACCGGAACCGAACCGUACUGUAGACGAACCGAAACUGGACCGGAACCGGUGGUUCAAAAUUUUGAACCAGAACCGGCGGUUCAAGGGCCGGUUAAGGUUCACGUGAAUGUUUAAAAAAUGAACCUGAACCGGCCCGGAACCGGCGGUUCUGGUCCGGUUCGAACCGGAUGACAAUUAAAAAAUUUUUUAUAGCUUAAAAUUUUUUUAAAUUUUUUAUAAAAAAAUUUAUAUCACUUGAUUUGAUUGUAGUUGACUUGAUUUGAUUUAUGAUGAAAAGAAGUACAAUGGUACAUAAUUUAUAAAAAGUGGUGAAAAAAAAUACACAUGGUUUGACUUAAUUUGUACAAAAAAUGGUACAUGAACAGUUGAUUUGUAAAAAAAAAAAAAAAAAAAAAAAACUAUGAGUAAAAAAGAAGGUACAAACGGCUAGUUUUUUAGAUUUGAGGUGACUUUUUUUUUUUCAAAUAAAUUUUAUUUAUUUUUAAUCAUUUAUUAUUUAUUUAUUAUAAUUUACUAAAAAAAAAUUAUGAGUAAAAGAGAAGGUACAAACGGCUAGUUUUUUAGAUUUGAGGUGACUUAUUUUUUUUUUCAAAUAAAUUUUAUUUAUUUUUAAUCAUUUAUUUAUUUAUUUAUUAUAAUUUACUAAAUUAUCCAAAAAUAUAGUUGGUAUUUUUCUGUUAUAAGGGACAAUUUGAGAAACUGAUAAAUGAAAAAUAUGUAUAAAUAUGAUGAGUUGAUGAUUUUUUUUUCACAACCAAUUACAUCCUAACUCUACUCUUAUUCUCAAUCAAAAUUCUCUCAAGUCUCAAAUUUACAUAGUUCAUUAUUUUUUCUAUUGCUUUAUCUUUCUUAAUAUUGGAAUUAUCUAUUAUUUAUUUUUAUUUUCAUACAUCCAAUUCUAAAUUCCUUCUAAUCUCAAUUUUUCCAUUCAUAAAUUUACUUCAUUUGAUUUUUUUUUAAUAAUUUUCUUAGUAUUUGGAAAUAAUAAUUUCCAACUCAUUCCAUUAAUUUNNNNNNNNNNNNNNNNNNNNNNNNNNNNNNNNNNUUUUUUUCCAUAAUUCCAUUUAAAAUUAUGGCACACAAUUCACAAAACUCCAAGGGAAAGCGAGUUGCUCAAAGCGUGGAAGAAAUUGAUUCAAACGAUCCAUUGAUUAGUUUUUCACCACAAUUUAAUGAUGAAAUUCAAUAUCAAACUCUAGUUGAGGAGAGUUAUACUCGUCGUCAUUCACCACAAGAAGAAGCAACAUCUCCUAAUAUUUCAAUAGGUAAACCACCAAAAUCAGAUAUUUUCAAGAAGCACUUUGCAAAAAUUGUUCAAGAUAACGGAGAAAUCAAUGCGGUUCGAUGUAAUUAUUGCAAAAAAGAAUAUGCAUUCAAGCUUGGAGGAGGCUAUGGUACUCUCCAUAGGCAUUUAAAAUCACGUCAUCCAAGUGAGGUAGAAAUGGAUGUAACUCAAACUGAAUUAUCGUCAUCAAGGUAUGGUGAUCCUAACACUCCUCUAUUUAAAUAUAGUGAUGAAACUAAUAAAAUUGAAAUGGCUAAAAUGGUUUAUAUGGAACGAUUAUCUUUUUCAUUUGGUGAAAAAAUUGGAUUUAAUAACUAUUGUAAAAAAGCAUUAAAUCCUUUAGCAAAAAAAAUACCUAGGAAUACACUUAAAAGGACUAUUUUAUCUAUUUAUUUNNNNNNNNNNNNNNNNNNNNNNNNNNNNNNNNNNNNNNNNNNNNNNNNNNNNNNNNNNNNNNNNNNNNNNNNNNNNNNNNNNNNNNNNNNNNNNNNNNNNNNNNNNNNNNNNNNNNNNNNNNNNNNNNNNNNNNNNNNNNNNNNNNNNNNNNNNNNNNNNNNNNNNNNNNNNNNNNNNNNNNNNNNNNNNNNNNNNNNNNNNUUUUUUCACACUAGAUGUGCAUGUCAUAUUUUAAAUUUAUGUGUUCAAGAUGCAUUAACAACAUUAAAUGUAUUUUUACGUCCAAUAAAAAAUGCUUUAAAUCAUUUAUGGACACAUGGAUAUGUUAGAAAAGAAUUUAAAAAUUUUUGUCACUCUAUGGGAAAAAAAUAUAAAAAAUUUUCAAGAGAUAUUCCUACAAGGUGGAAUUCAACUUAUAAAAUGUUAAAUGAGUCUUAUGAAUAUAAAGAUAUUCUUUCUGCCUUUAUGCAAUUGCAUGCAUCACAUUUUCAACUUUAUCCAAUCAAUUGGACUAUUUGUAAAAAAAUAUUAGAUAUUUUGCAAGUUUUUGAAAAUUGUACAAGAAUUUUUAGUGNNNNNNNNNNNNNNNNNNNNNNNNNNNNNNNNNNNNNNNNNNNNNNNNNNNNNNNNNNNNNNNNNNNNNNNNNNNNNNNNNNNNNNNNNNAUGAUGAUUUACAAGAAUGUAUAUUCAUGAUGAAAACUAAAUGGUUAAAAUAUUAUACUGAAAUUCCGGAUUUAAAUUUAGUUGCAUUUUUUCUUUGUCCUAGAUUUAAGUUAGUUGCAUUAGAAGAAUUUUUUCGUAUUUAUUAUGGAUCUUUUAAUAUUGAUGUAGAUUAUUUUUCUCUUACUAAUAAUGUUUUAAGGUAUGUCCGUCAAUUGUAUAACGAGUAUUCUAAAUUAGUAUCUCCCCUUCCUCAAUUAUCACAUCCACAAAAUACACAAUCCACUAAAUUUCAUUCUACACAAUUUACUUUCAUGCAAACCUGGUUCUUAAUUUUUUAAUAUCAAGAUGCCUUUUUACCAGUUUAUAUUUUGCUUCUGCGUUUUCAAUGUGUCUAUCAUUUGUUUUUGGUUGAAAUAGAAUUCUUUGGGAUUCAACAUCAAAAGAUGAAGACCAAUAGAUAUUCCCAUGGAACUUCUAUGCAUAAAUAAUUUUAUUUUACUUUUGAUGCAUGAAUAAUAUUAUUUUAUCUUUGUUGAAAGUAAACAAGAAAUAAGAGGGGAGAGGGAGUCUGAACAACUUUUUAGUAUCAAUUAUGAUCAUCUUUGACACUGUUGUUCUGCAACUGAUUUGUAGCUCCAUUGGUGACAAUUGAGAGCACAGUAUUGUAAGCUAGUGGUUGUUUUCGAGAAAAUGGAAAUAUGUUCAAUGAUUCUCUGGCAUAAAAUUUAAUGCAAAAAUGGCUGUUAAUGAUGCUCUUGCUUUGGUUACAGGUUCGUGAUAUUUUCUCGAAAGCCACUGCUGCAGCACCAUGCCUUCUCUUUUUUGAUGAAUUUGAUUCCAUUGCCCCAAAAAGAGGGCAUGACAAUACUGGUGUUACUGAUCGUGUUGUUAAUCAAGUCAGUUCCAUAUUUUCUUUCAUUUUUUUUUUUUUUUUUCUUUUUUGUGUUCGUUUUCUGAAUUAAGGUUCUCAUCGUAACAUUACUCUCCUCUCUCAGUUUCUCACUGAAUUAGACGGUGUUGAAGUAUUAACUGGUGUAUUCGUAUUUGCUGCAACAAGGUUAGUUUCUUUGUGGAGUUAAGUUAUGUUAUUUUAGGUUAUUCUCAUAGCACUAAUUACUGGAUAGUCAAUACUAAUAUGUGUAGAAAGAUACUUUUGCAUUAUGCCUCUGUAGCCUUUUCAAUUACUUAAAUCAGAUACUCGAUAAAUAGUUAACAGUAUUUUAGUGCAUGAGUACCACAGCAUGAUGCAUAAAAUUUCAUUUUGCUUCUUGUGUUAAAUAUUUGUUGUACAUCCUUAGUAACUUAUCAAAUGAUGUUCUGCACAUAAGCUUUAUUUAAAUAGGAUGGAUUGUACAGAUUCUAGUCUCAUACCAUAUCUCAAUAAAAACCAAUUCUCCAUUAUUUUCUGUGAAUAUAUGACUUGCAAUAUGGGCAUUAGCAGUAAGUACUAAAUGAUAUGUAGUGGAAAAGGUACAUUGUAGGGAUUUUCUUCUUCAAUUAUGUUGAAUGUUUACAGCUAUAGUUUCUGAUUUACCCUUUAUGUAAAUCUCUCUCUCUCUCUCUCUCUCUCUCCACUCAUUUGCAUGCUCACUCAUUCUCACAUUUGUCGAGCAGUAGACCAGAUCUACUUGAUGCUGCAUUGCUCAGACCUGGUAGGUUAGAUCGUCUUCUUUUCUGCGAUUUUCCAUCUCAGCAGGAGAGGUUAGACAUCCUUACGGUUCUUUCCCGAAAGGUGAGUGGUUCUGCCCAGAUUUAAUUUUAGGUGGAAUCCAUGUAAAGUAUUGCUGUUUCUUUUUGCGUUUCUUAUGUCUGCUUUCUGCCAAUUAAUGCAGCUACCGAUGGACAGUGAUGUUGACUUAGAUGCCAUCGCAUGUAUGACAGAAGGAUUUAGUGGAGCUGACCUACAAGCUCUUCUAUCAGAUGCACAACUUGCGGCAGUUCAUGAACAUCUGAGUGCAGACAGCAGCAAACAUGGGAAAAUGCCAGUCAUAACUGAUGCCUUGUUGAAGUCCAUUGCUUCCAAAGCAAGACCAUCCAUUUCUGAAUCUGAGAAGCGGAGACUAUAUGGUAUUUAUAACCAGUUCUUGGAUUCAAAGAAAUCUGCUGCCGCCCAGGUCCCUCUCUCUCAUCACAUUUUCAUGUGCUUGCAAGAGGGAGCAAGACGGAAGAGGAGAAAUCCAUUUUAUUUACUUCCAACGCUACCGUUUCGACUUAGCUAAUUUGACUGGUGUUCUUAGAGGCUGAGUCCAGCAUGGUUCAGCAUAAUACCAGGCCCAACUCGAACCGAAAAUGCUUCCCUCCUACCUUGUGAUUUUCCUCUCAAAAAUUAUGAGAUUAUUACGAGUUCAAUAUUUCAACCUAAUUGAAAAAAGUUCUAAAGAAAAGCAGUGGUGCCGUACAAGAUCCUCCUUUUGAUUUAAGAAAAGCAACGCAAAACUAACGAUCAUAGCAUGUCUAUGGAUUGACAAUGUUUAAUUUCAAAUUACAUGGCCUUUGCUGUUCAUUUUUAGAUAAAAACAGGCAAACAUGCCCGCGCCUCGCAGCGGCAUUACAUUGCAAUUUCUUUUUAUCAUAACAAAUAAGUUUCAUGCAGUACACAUAUCCAAGAAUAGAUUACAUGGAAGUAUAUAUUGAUCAUUUAAGAUUAAACUAUUUUCUAAAUUAAAGCAGUAAAAAGUUUUAAAUUAUUCCUAUAUCUGUUGGAAACGCUGAAUCCUAAAACCACUGACCAACAGUAUAAAAGUUGUCGAAUAAUUGAGAAGCAAUUCAUAAAAUCUAAAAUUGAUCCACUUAAUAUGAAAAACAAUAAACAACUGUUUUAAAAGUUAAUCAAAAAGUAAAAUACAUUUUCUAAGAUCAAGUAAUAUACAUUAUGCUUCAUUCAAGCGCAUCCCAUGGUCUCAGAGUAUCCUUGAGAAAAAACACUGAAUCAAAAGAUAAUAAUUUCAAGCUUCUUGAAAAGAUCUUCAACACAUUAAAAAAUAUAAAUAUAUAUGAAUUACAAUGAGAUAACAGCUUUUUAAAUAUUUGACAGCAUACAGAUGGACACAUUCUUAGCGUAGAAUGAGGAAAACAUUAAGAGAUCUAAAAUUUGAAGCCCACACCAAAAAGACAGACUAUGCAAUAAAUAAAUAAGAGAUUUUUACAGGGAAAGAAAGGAAAAUGGAGAUGAAAACAAAUAAAUGAUACCAAUGAGUACAAAAAAAUGAAAAAGAAAAGAACCUCAUAUAAAAAGAGAGUAAUUGAGCUGAAAAAUGGUGAAAGAGGAGAAAUCUCCACCUUUGUAAUCAUUAUUCCUAAUUAUUAAGCUUUAUUACCUUAAUAUUAUCUCUGUAAAGUAAUUUCCUUAAACUAUACACAGUUUCAGAUUUUUUUAGCUCCCAUUUGUAGAAAUAAUGCUACUACUUUGCUUACUCUGCUAGAAAAAGAUGACUUGAUCAACCAAAAUUCAGACUUUCCCUUUCCUUCCUGAACCAGAAGCAAUUAUUUUCCUUUCCUUUCCUUACUAUACAUGCAAUUACACGAGAGAGUUAGAUAAAGGGCCAGCACCAUGUCCACAGAUCUAUUAGGCAUUUCGGCAGCAAUUGAAGAUCGGAAAGAAUUAAAUAAAUAUAAAAAAAUGCAUAUUUUUGGGUUUUUUUUUUUUUGGGGGGGGAGGGGAGGGGGAGGAGGAGGAUAAGAUAUGUUCUCUUUGUUUAAAUUUUAACAUGGAAUUUCAAAGAUAAAACCAAUAAAACAUUACAUGUAUCAGCAAAUGGAAGCUUUCGUGACCUACACCUAUUUCAAACAAAUUUCAAACAAAAAAAGGUUAAAAAUCAGUUGAUUUAUGCUUUUAAGCAUCUCUUUUUUCUUAAAAUACAAAAUCAUCCUCCUCCUAGCAACACAAAUUUCUAAUAAUAAAAUCUGGCAACUGAUAAUAACUAUUGCCUUCACUUUACACCUUCCUUCUGCACACAACCUUUCUGCUCAGCCUCUUCCUACUGUACCUUCUGCUUCUCAAAAUAUAAUUUGUUUAAAUUGCUUAAAAAUGCGUGAAGAGCAGUUCCUGGACUAAUGGAGUAAACCAUACCCUACACUUUGAAUUGGUAUAUGAAAGAGAGGAAAAGAGAAACUAAAAAAUUACUUGGCAGAAAUAGAAUCGCUUUUCCAUAUAAAUUCUCCUUUAAGAUUCCCUAAAAGCCUAGUUACAGAAUUUAUUUUCUCCAAUAAAUUUAGCUUCUUGACCAUUAGUAAUGGCUAACAAUUUAUCAGCCCAGAAAAAAAAUACAAAAAUGGAACCGGAGGUUUUCUUGUGACAUUCUUUUUCAUUCAUUUCUCACAAACUAAGCCUAUACGGAAUCUCUAUAAGCGUAAUAACAGCAAACAAUAGCGCACAUUCAAUCAAAUAACAUGAAUCUAGCCGAAACAAAUUCAAUUCGAUUCACAAUAAGCAAGAUAUAGCAUACCUUAGCAGACAUUGCUCAAAAUGUCAUUCAUCCUUCUCUCUAUUCUUCACUACAAAAUAACCAAUAACUGAUUGGUAAGAAACCUGCUGAGAGUUUCAAUCAAUUAGGAAGAGAAGAUCAAAUCGAAAUCCUAACAAUGAAAAUUUUAACCAAUAUCCAACUUAAACUCAGAAUCAAUGCAUAUCAAGCAUUUCAAGUCCACACAGCAAAAAGAACAUUAAAUAUAAACAAUGAAAGAUUCUAUAAACUGGAAUAGUAGCUUAGAAUCAAAAUUCUCCCCUUUCCUCCUUCCGAGAACUGAAACUGUGAUUUGCAAAGAGAGAAGUUUUGAGAGAGAGAGAGAGGGGAAAAUAGAGAGUGCAGAUAUUUGAUGCAGGGAGGGUAAAGGCAAAUAAAAAUGAAAAUCACCUGGAAGAUCCGGAAAAUGGAAGUGAAGUGGCAGUAUUUGAAGAAAUUGAGUGGGUGUAGAAGUCGGUCGACGGAAGAUCGUGAAAAUAGAGGAUAGGACAAAAUAGAAAUAACAUAAAAAGCAAAUGGUUAAAUUGUCAAAUCCCUGUUCCAGAACAGUGAUUUUGGUUUUCAUUUCAGUAUAUAUAUAAUAUAAUUUUUGGUGACCAAAAACAUUUACAGAACAAGAAACUUAAAACAUAUAUAACAGCAAAAGCUUAAGAUAGGGAGAACAUGAACAAGGAGAGGAUACUACUAGUACGAGACACAUGAAUCUUCUUAUUAACAAAUAAAUUGAUAGACUCACCUAUUACAAGUUAAUUAGAUAAAGUAACCUCAUUUCAGUCAAGCUAAUGCAAUGUUGUGUCCAGUUUACAUUAAACUGCAGUAUGCUUUACAAAUGAAUCCCCCAAAUUCUUCAUCAAACUCAAACCAAGUUCAACAAUAUCAAUUUUCCCCAGGAGAACAUCUGACAAUUCAGGUACUUGUUCUUGAUAUUUGAUCACAAACAUGUCCAAGAAAUUUUUUUCAGAAGAUUGAAGAAUAUAUUUUAAACUGAUGUCUGGUUUGAUCAAACCCUUCAGAAUCAAAACUCUUACAACUGAACACCUUGGAACAAUCCUCUUUUCCAAACUAUAACAUAAAACAAUUGGAAAUUUUAUAACAAUUGCAGGCUGCCAACCCAUUUUGUUCACAAGAAAAUCCAUCUUCUUCAUAAAUGUCUUCUCUGAUAAAGUCAUAAACAGAGGAAAGUUUCUGAAAGCAGACAAUAUUUCUUCUUCCGACAAACCCGAUCUACUAUAAGCAUCAAUUUUACGUUUCCAUGUUUUGGAGUUCAGUUGAAUAAUCACUCGAAGUGCAUUAGCAAAUUGAAGAUUCAGAGGAUCAAAUCCCAUACCUAUAACCUUUUUAACAGCUCCAAUAAACUUAUCAGAUUUUAGGCAUAUAAUGUUGGGGUUACAGGUAAUCAAAAUAGAGAUGGUAGAUAGACGCAUUCCCAGCUCUCUUAAGACUGAUACAUUAAUGGGCAAGUGUUCCUUGACAUAGCACAUGUUUAAUGGUGAUAUGCGUUUCAAUAUAAUAAGAACUUUCUCAUCAGAAAAUAAUAAACUUUUAAGAAAAUCAUAAAAUGGGAUCAAAAGAUUGUUCAAGCUGCCUGACAAGAAAAUUGGGUUCCUAGAUAUCAUCACCGGAAGGUCUGAGUCAGAAAUCCCAACAGAACGUAAAAAUUGAAUCUUUGGCAAUAUUGUCUUCUCGGGAUCGAAUAAAAUCAACCUGGGCUGUCCCCUAACAAUUUGGGAGAUCUGGUAUUUGGUCAGUCCAUUGUCUUUGAGAAGACUAAUGACAGAAUCUGGUCUUUCAGGGUUUUCAAACUUAACGUACUUUGAAAUAAGUUUAGCAUAUUGUGAUGAUAAGCCACAUGAGUUGAUGAGAUAGGACACUGUAAACGAGCGUUGAUUAGAAUUAGAUGAGAAAUACCUGACUGUAAGCAGCUCUUUAAAAUGAAUAAUACCCAACUGGGUACUGUUUGAGUCUAACAGAACAUGACUCCAAUCAUUUAACGCCAAUCUUCCACUGAAGAUAUGGAACAUCGUUUGAUAGGCCAACUCACCGAUUUGAGAAAGGAAAGAGUUGGAAUUGGAUGUUUUGCUUUAUCUCCCUUGUAAAUCAGUGAGCUAUAAAUCGAGAAUACGAUUUUACCCAGAAAACCAUUCAACAGUACGAAAAUUUAUGAGAAGUCGACAGCAAAAGAGCCAAUGGUUGCCUGCUCUGCCUCCACUCCGACAGUUGAAGAUAAAUUCAGUCUCUUUGGGUUUUAGGGUUUUGCAGUUGCAAGAGGGAGCAAGACGGAAGAGGAGAAAUCAAUUUUAUUUACUUCCAACGCUACCGUUUCGACUUAGCUAAUUUGACUGGUGCUUUUAGAGGCUGAGUCCAGCAUGGUUCAGCAUAAUACCAAGCCAACUCGAACCGAAAAUGCUUCCCUCCUAGCUUGUGAUUUUCCCCUCAAAAAUUAUGAGAUUAUUCCAACCUAAUUAAUUGAAAAAAAGUUCCUAAAGAAAAGCAGUAAUUCUCUACAAAAUCCUCCCUUUCAUUAAGAAAAGGAACCCAAAAAUAAUUAUUAUAGCAUAGUUUAAGGAUAUCAUAACAUAUUAAAAUGGGAUCAUAUAUUUCUCCAAACCCCUUUGCAGAAUAUUUGGUUUCCUAUUGAUUAUUUAGUUCUGGAAUGUCUUUGUUGGAAACCCUGUAGAACCAGAACGUAUAAAUUGAAACUUGGGAAAAAGGCUUUGUCAAUCAUAUCAAAGAGCAAGCGAGCCGUGUCCUUACAAUUUUCAUUUCUAAACAAAAAUCUCACAAUUAUAUGGUCUUUGCUGUUCAUUUUUAAAUAAAAAUUUUUGGUGACCAAAAAACAUUUACAGAACAAGAAACCUAACACAUAUAUAACAGCAAAAGCUUAAGAUAGGGAGAACUUGAAUAAGCGGAGGAUAUUACUAGCACAAGACACAGACGAAUCUUCUUAUAAAUAGAUAAAUUGAUAGAAUCGGCUGUUACAAGUUAAUUAGAAAGAGUAACCCCAUUUCAGUCAACCUAAUUCAAAGUUGUUGCCAGCUCAAAGGAAGCAACAAUACAAGGCAAAAGAAUUUUAAUGUACGGCUGUUGUGUCCGGUCUAUAUUAAACUGCUGUAUGCUUUAUAGCCGAAUCCCCCAAAUUCUUCAUCAAACUCAAAACAAAUUCAACAAUAUCAAUUGGGCGCCACACCCCCCCCCCCCCCCCCCCCCUCUCCGCGAAAGAACAUCCAAGAUUUCAGGUACUUGUUCUUGAUACGUGAUCGCAAACAUGUCCAAGAAUUAUUCUUCAGAAUAUCCAAGAAUAGAAGCUAAACUGAUUUCUGCUCUGAUCAAACCCUUUAGAAUCAAAACUCUUAAAACUGAGCACCUUGGAACAACCGUCUUGUCGAAACUAUAACAUAAAACAGCUGGAUGUUUUGCAACACUUGCAGGCUGCCAACCCAUUUUGUUCACAAGAAAAUCUAUCUUCUUUAUAAUUGUCUUCUCUGAAUAACCAAUACACAGUGGGCGCUUUUUGAUAACAGACCAGAUCUCUUCUUCCGACAAACCCGACCCACUGUAAGCAUCAAUUUUUCGUUUCCAUGUUUUGGAUUUCAUUUGAAUUAUCACUCGAAGAGCAUCGGCAAAUGAAAGAUUCAGAGGAUCAAAUCCCAUACCUAUAACAUUUUUGACAGCUUCACUAAACUUUUCAGAAUUUGAGCAUACAGUUUUGGGGCAACUGGUAAUCAAAAUAGAGAAGGUAGAUUGACGAAUUCCGAGCUCCCUUAAGACUGAUAAAUUAACAGGCAAGUGUUCCUUGACAUAGCACAUGCUAAAUGCUGAUAUGCGUUUCAAUAUAAUAAGCACUUUCUCAUCAGAAAAUAACAAACUUUUAAUAAAAGCAUAAAUGGGAUCAAAAGAUUGUUCAUGCUGCCAGUCAAGAAAACUGGGUUCUUAGAUAUCAUCACCGGAAGGUCUGAGCUAGAAAACCCAAUAGAACGUAAAAAUUGAAUCUUUGGCAACAGUAUCUUCUGGGGAUCGAAUAAAAUCAACUUGGGCUGUCCCUAACAACUUGGGAUAUCUGGUUUUCGGUGAGUCCAUAGUCUUUGAGAAGACUAAUGACAGAAUCUGGUCUUUCAGAGUUUUCAAAAUUUACGUACUUUGAAACAAGUUUAGCAGAUUGUGAGGAUAAGCCACAUGAGUUGAUGAGGUAUGACACUGUAAAAGAGUGUUGAUUAGAUUUAGAUGAGAAAUACCUGACCGUAAGCAGUUCUUUAAAAUGAAUAAUACCCAAUUGGGUACUGUUUGAGUCUAACAGAACAUGACUCCAAUCAUUUAACGCCAAUCUUCCACUGAAGAAACGGGACAUCGUAUGAAAGGCCAACUCAUCGAUUUCAGCAGGGAAAGAGGUGGAAUUGGAUGUUUUGCUUUAUCUGCCUUGUAAGUCAGUGAGCUAUAAAAUCGUUUCGAUUUUACCCAGAAAACCAUUCAUCAAUACGAAAAUUUAUGAGAAUUUGACAUCAAAAGAGCCAUGGGUCAGCAUAAUACCAGGUCCAACUCGAACCUAAACAGCAUUUCUUCUCGGUGUUGUGGUUUUACCCUCAAAAACUUACGAGAUUAGGCGUUCAUAUUCCAACCUAAUUAAUCGAAAAAGGUUCCUAAAGAGGAAUAAUAAAACAGUUGGUUGGAGGGAUUUUAAAUAAUCGAUAGUUCUUAUCAAAUUGGUUCUUUGAGUCCAACAGAGAAAUUUAUAUAUAAUUUAAGUCUAAUUUUCUUCGCAAGAAAUCAAGUACCUCAUGAUAAUCUAAUUUAUGACCAAAUAUAUAGAUUGUCAUUUAAAAUUAUCAUAAAAAUAAAAUAUGAAAAAAAUAAUUCAAUGUUAUCUUCAAUUUUUAUUUUGACUCAUUUCCGUCGGUCAAAAGGCAAAAAAACUCAAUAUAUAUAUAACAUGGGGAAAUUGAAAAAGGAGAGGAUACUACUACUACAAGGCAAAGAUGAAUCUUCUUAUUAACAGAUAAAUUAAUGGACUCUGCUAUGACAAGUUAAUCAGAAAAAGUAACCCAAUUGCGAUAAAGCUAAUUCAAAAUAGCUCCUACCUAGAAGGAAGCAAUAACACAAGGCAAAAGAAUUUUGAGUUGUAUCCAGUUCAUACGAGUUAGGUUCUCCAUUCUCACCGCAACUUGCUGUUAAAUUUUUUGCCAAAAUAUUCACCAUGUGGCAGUCCUUUUUCAAGAAAAUUUCAAUGCAACUCUACAUUUUUUAUCAUUUCGUAAUUGUUUGCAUUUGUCAUUACAUAUCUACAACUACUAAUGACGAAUACCAAACCAUCACAUAUCAGCAAUAAUUCCAUAAAUUGGAAAAAGAAAAGAAAAGUUUAAAAUAAUUCUAUACAAAUUGCAAUAAUCAUCUUUUCUUAUCAGCUCCAAAAUCUUUUCUUUUCUUUUGUUUCACUUUCUCCGACUUCAUGUUGAUAUUGGUUUCACUCUUCUUCAGCAAUUCCCUCAGGAUAAAUCUGCAGUAAAGAUAUGAACAUGUAAAAAUGAAAUUGCCAGUAAAGAAUUAUAUAUAUAUAUAUAUAUAAAGAGAGAGCGAAAAAAGAAAGAUUAUCUCACCUGACUGCGAUUUUCUUCAUGGAAGCUUACAGUUCUUUGAACUCCCCUCUGCUAGUAGUUAGCUCAUCUAACAUUUCCGCAUCACAAACUUGGACUUUCCCUUCCUCAGUUCCUAAACCAGUUGCUUCAUUUUCCUGAUAAUUAAAAAGAAAAUGCACAAAAUUAGUACUAAUAAAAAAAAAUGUAUAUAUAGACUAAAGAUUGAAUAAACAGAUGGACAUACUCUCAAAGAAAGGCUGAAAGAUAGUCGUGGAGCUCUGGUAAUUUCCUCAUAUUCAGCUGCAUCUAGUUCUCGUAAAUGAUGAGGACCAAACAGUUUUUAGAGGCUGAGUCCAGCAUGGGUAUAACAGGACCAACUCGAAGAACCAAAACUGAUGAUCAUAACAUGUCUAUGGAUUGACAAUGUUUAAUUUCAAAUUACAUGGCCUUUGCUCUUCAUUUUUAGAUAAAAAUUUUUGGUGACCAAAAAGCAUUUACAGAACGAGAAACCUAAGACAUAAACAACAGCAAAAGCUUAGGGAGAACUUGAACAAGGAGAGGAUACUACUAGUAUAAGACACACGAAUCUUCUUAUUAACAAAUAAAUUGAUAGACUCGCCUAUUACAAGUUAAAUUAGAAAAAGCAACCUCAUUUCAGUCAAGCUAAUGCAAUGUUGUGCCCGGUUUACAUUAAACUGCUGUAUGCUUUACAGCUGAAUCCCCCAAAUUCUUCAUCAAACGCAAACCAAGUUCAACAAUAUCAAUUGUCCCCAGGAGAACAUCCGAGAAUUCAGGUACUUGUUCUGGAUACUUGAUCACAAACAUGUCCAAGAAUUUUUCUUCAGAAUAUCCAAGAAUAGAAGCUAAACUGAUUUCUGCUCUGAUCAAACCCUUUAGAAUCAAAACUCUUAAAACUGAACACCUUGGAACAACCCUCUUCUCGAAACUAUAACAUAAAACAACUGGAUAUUUUGCAAUAAUUGCAGGCUGCCAACCCAUUUUGUUCACAAGAAAAUCUAUCUUCUUUAUAAUUGUCUUCUCUGAGUAACCCAUACACAGUGGACGCUUUUUGAUGACAGACCAUAUUUCUUCUUCCGAAAAACCCAACCUACUGAAAGCAUCAAUUUUUUGUUUCCAUGUUUUGGAUUUCAUUUGCAUUAUCAUUCGAAGAGCAUUGGCAAAUGAAAUAUUCCGAGGAUCAAAUCCCAUACCUACAACAUUUUUAAUAGCUUCACUAAACCUUUCAGAAUUUGCGCAUACAGCGUUGGGGCAAUUGGUAAUCAAAAUAGAGAUGGUAGAUUGACGCAUUCCGAGCUCUCUUAAGACUGAUAAAUUAACAGGCAAGUGUUCCUUGACAUAGCACAUGUUGAAUGCUGAUAUGCGUUUCAAUAUAAUAAGGCCUCACUCAUCAGAAAAUAACAAACUUUUAAUAACAGCAUAAACUGGGAUCAAAAGAUUGUUCAAGCUGCCAGACAAGAAAACGGGGUUCUUAGAUAUCAUCACCGGAAGGUCAGAAACCCCAAUAGAACGUAAAAAUUGAAUCUUUGGUAAUAUUGUCUUCACGGGAUCGAAUAAAAUCAACUUGGGCUGUCCCCUAAUAACUUGAGAUAUCUGGUAUUUGGUGAGUCCAUAGUCUUUGAGAAGAUUAAUGACAGCAUCUGGUCUUUCGGAGUUUUCAAAAUUUACGUACUUUGAAACACGUUUAGCAGAUUGUGAGGAUAAGCCACAUGAGUUGAUGAGGUAUGACACUGUAAAAGAGUGUGUAUUAGAUUUAGAUGAAAAAUACCUGAUUGUAACCAGUGCUUUAAAAUGAAUAAUACCCAAUUGGGCACUGUUCGAGUCUAACAGCGCACGACUCCAAUCAUUUAACGCCAAUCUUCUAUUGGAGAAACGGAACAUCAUAUGAAAGGCCAACUCACCGAGUUUAGGAGGGGAAACAGCUGGAAUUGGACGUUUUGCUUUAUCUGCCUUGUAAAUCAGUGAGCUAUAAAAUCGAAAAUACGAUUUUUACCCAGAAAACCAUUCAGCAAUACGAAACUUUCUGAGAAUUUAACAUCAAAAGAGCCAUAAUAUUGCCUGCUCUGCCUCCAUUCCGGCAGUUCAAGAUAGGUCACGGUACUUAAGCGUUUUAGGGUUUUGCAGUUGCAAGAGCGAAGAGGAGAAAUCAAUUAUAUUUACUCAAACACGCUGCCGUUUUCAGUUAGCUGGUGCUUUUAGAGGCUGAGUCCAGCAUGGGUCAGCAUAAUACCAGGCCCAACUCGAACCGAAACUGCAUUUCUUUCCCUGAACUGAUUUCACCGUUGUUGUUGCUUUUCAUUUGUAAUAAAAUUAUUUGUAAUGGAAAACAGUUACAAAAUGAUAUAUAGGGAUAUGCAGUUGCAAAAGAGAGCGAGAGUGAAGAGGAGAAAUCAAUUUUCAAUGUAAUUUUACAUUUUUUAUCAUUUCGCAGUUGAUUGCCGUUGUCAUUGCAUUUGUCAUUACAUCUACAACUACUAAGGACGAAUUCCAAACCAUCACAUAUCAGCAAUAAUUCUAAAAACUGAAAAAAGAAAAGAAAAGAUAAGUUCAAAAUGAUUCUGUACAAAUUACAAUAAUCAUCUUUUCUUUUGUUUUGUUUUACUUUCUCCUUCAUCUGCAGCUAUUGCUCCCACUCGAGUCUGUCUUCACCUUGAUUGUUAGUAUACGUGAAUAGUAUCCGUGAAUAGUAUCAGUAUACAUAAAUAGUAUCAGUAUACGUAAAUAGUACUAAUAUAUUUGAAUAGUAUCAGUAUACGCCGACGCCAAUAGUACUGUUUACAACCAACUUUGAGUUACUGUUUUACUAUUCACUACUAAGCGAUUGUUUUACUAUUCACCACUAAGUCGAUUGUUUUACUAUUCACCACUAAGUCGAUCUACAACUUCUUUCCGAGCGUAUAGCACCGAUGAACUCAUCGUAAUUUUCUUAUCGUCGUGGUAUAUUUGUUUUCAAAAUAUAUCCACGGAUCUGGUCCCGCUAUCUGACCAGCUGGACCUGCCGAAACCUUCGGCUCUGAUACCAGUUGUUGAAAAAAAUUACGCAAAAUCCCCAAUAACUUAGAUUUAUGAGGGAGCAAAAGAAAAUAAUAACACACAAUUUGAUAAUGGAGUUCGGCCAAUCUUGCCUACUUCUCCGGACUGCCACAUAUCUUUUAUAGAGAAAAAUAAAUAAAGUAUUUACAUACACUCACAACCCGCUAUCCAAGAAUACCCGAAAAAUUAAACUUAAUUUUUCUUCUUGCAUAAUCUCUCUAUUUUUCUCUCUUACAGUUGCUCUCUCUCUCAAUUGCUAUCACUCUCUAUUUGUCUUGUGUAUUUAAAUGAACUUCGUCUGCCUCUUUUUAUAGGCAGUUGUAUACUUUGUCAAAAGAAAAUUGACAACUUUUCUUCUUUUCCAAAUAACACGUUUUCCUUUUUUUUUUUUUUUCUUUUUUUCUUUUGCACAUGUGGGUCCCAUUUAAGUGGGACCACCAAAACCAACUUUGACAAGGUCCACCUAGAAGGAAGCAAUAAUACAAGGCAAAAGAUUAUUGACAUAUGAUUUGUAUCCAGUUUCUACGAGUUAGGUUCUCCAUUCUCACCGCAACUUGCUGUUAAAUUUUUUGUCAAAAUCUUCACCUUGUGGCAGUUCUUUUUCAUGAAAUUUCAAUGUAACUUUACAUUUUUUAUCAUUUCGUAGUUGUUUGCAUUUGUCAUUACAUAUCUUCAACUACUAAUGACGAAUACCAACCAUCACAUAUCAGCAAUAAUUCCAUAAAUUGGAAAAAGAAAAGAAAAGUUUAAAAUAAUUCUAUACAAAUUGCAAUAAUCAUCUUUUCUUAUCAGCUCCAAAAUCUUUUCUUUUCUUUUGUUUCACUUUCUCCGACUUCAUGUUGAUAUUGAUUUCACUCUUCUUCAGUAAUUCCCUCAGGAUAAAUCUGCAGAAAGAUUGGAACAUGUAAAAAUGAAAUUGUCAGUAAAGAAUUAUAUAUAUAUAUAUAUAUAUAUAUAUAUAAAGGGAGAGCGAAAAAAGAAAAAUUAUCUUACCUGACUGCGAUUUUCUUCAUGGAAACUUACGGUUCUAACUUUGAACUCCCCUCUGCUAGUAGUUAGCUCAUCUAACAUUUCUGCGUAACACACUUGGACUUUCCCUUCCUAAUUUCCUAAACCAGUUGCUUCAUUUUCCUGAUAAUUAAAAAGAAAAUGCACAAAAUUAGUACUAAUCCAAAAAAAUGUAUGUAUAGACUAAAGAUUGAAUAAACAGAUGGACAUACUGUCAAAGAAAGGCUGAAAGAUAGUCGUGGAGCUCUGGUAAUUUCCUCAUAUUCAGCUACAUCUAGUUCUCUUAAAUGAUGAGGACUAAACAGUUUGUAGAGGCUGAGUGCAUGGGUAUACACCGGGCCCAACUCGAACCGACAAUGCUUCCCUCCUAACUUGUGAUUUUCCUCUCAAAAAUUAUGAGAUUAUUGCGAGUUCAAUAUUCCAACCUAAUUAAUUGGAAAAAGUUCCCAAAGAAAAGCAGUGGUUCUGUACAAAAUCCUCCCUUUGAUUAAGAAAAGCAACGCAAAACUAAUUACCAUACAUGUCUAUGGAUUGACAAUGUUUAAUUUCAAAUUACAUGGUCUUUGCUGUUCAUUUUUAGAUAAAAAUUUUUGGUGAACAAAAAGCAUUUACAGAAUACUACUAGUACAAGACACACGAAUCUUCUUAUUAACAAAUAAAUUGAUAGACUCACCUAUUACAAGUUAAUUAGAAAAAGUAACCUCAUUUCAGUCAAGCUAAUGCAAUGUUGUGUCCGGUUUACAUUAAACUGCUGUAUGCUUUACAGCUGAAUCCCCAAAAUUCUUCAUCAAACUCAAACCCAGUUCAACAAUAUCAAUUUUCCCCAGGAGAACAUCCGAGAAUUCAGGUACCUGUUCUCGAUGCUUGAUCACAAACAUGUCCAAGAAUUUUUCUUCAGAAUAUCCAAGAAUAGAAGUUAAACUGAUUUCUGCUCUGAUCAAACCCUUUAGAAUCAAAACUCUUAUAACUGAACACCUUGGAACAACCCUCUUCUCGAAACUAUAACUUAAAACAAUUGGAUGUUUUGCAACAAUUGCAGGCUGCCAACCCAUUUUGUUCACAAGAAAAUCUAUCUUCUUUAUAAUUGUCUUCUCUGAUAAACUCAUACACAGUGGACGCUUUUUGAUAACAGACCAUAUUUCUUCUUCCGAAAACCCCGACCUACUGUAAGCAUCAAUUUUUUGUUUCCAUGUUUUGGAAUUCAUUUGAAUUAUCAUUCGAAGAGCAUCGGCAAAUGAAAUAUUCAGAGGAUCAAAUCCCAUACCUACAACAUUUUUAAUAGCUUCACUAAACCUUUCAGAAUUUGUGCAUACAGCGUUGGGGGAAGUGGUAAUCAAAAUAGAGAUGGUAGAUUGGCGCAUUCCGAGCUCUCUUAAGACUGAUAAAUUAACAGGCAAGUGUUCCUUGACAUAGCACAUGUUGAAUGCUGAUAUGCGUUUCAAUAUAAUAAGCACUUUCUCAUCAGAAAAUACCAAACUUUUAAUAAAAUCAUAAAAUGGGAUCAAAAGAUUGUUCAAGCUGCCAGACAAGAAAACUGGGUUCUUAGAUAUCAUCACCGGAAGGUCUGAGCCAGAAACCCCAAUCGAACGUAAAAAUUGAAUCUUUGGUAAUAUUGUCUUCACGGGAUCGAAUAAAAUCAACUUGGGCUGUCCCCUAAUAACUUGAGAUAUCUGGUAUUUGGUGAGUCCAUAGUCUUUGAGAAGACUAAUGACAGAAUCUGGUCUUUCAGUGUUUUCAAAAUUUACGUACUUUGAAACAAGUUUAGCAGAUUGUGAGGAUAAGCCACAUGAGUUGAUGAGAUAGGACACUGUAAAAGAGUGUUGAUUAGAUUUAGAUGAGAAAUACCUGACCGUAAGCAGCUCUUUAAAAUGAAUAAUACCCAAUUGGGUACUGUUUGAGUCUAACAGAACAUGACUCCAAUCAUUUAACGCCAAUCUUCCACUGAAGAAACGGAACAUCGUAUGAAAGGCCAACUCACCGAGUUUAGGAGGGGAAACAGCUGGAAUUGGACGUUUUGCUUUAUCUGCCUUGUAAAUCAGUGAGCUAUAAAAUCGAAAAUACGAUUUUUACCCAGAAAACCAUUCAGCAAUACGAAACUUUCUGAGAAUUUAACAUCAAAAGAGCCAUAAUAUUGCCUGCUCUGCCUCCAUUCCGGCAGUUCAAGAUAGGUCACGGUACUUAAGCGUUUUAGGGUUUUGUGUUUUAGGGUUUUGCAGUUUCAAGAGGGAAGAGGAGAAAUCAAUUUUAUUUACUCAAACACGCUGCCGUUUUUACUUAGCUGGUGCUUUUAGAGGCUGAGUCCAGCAUGGGUCGGCAUAAUACCAGGCCCAACUCGAACCGAAACCGCGUUUCUUUCUCUGAACUGAUUUCACUGUUGUUAUUGCUGUUCAUUUUUAAUAAAAUUAUUGGCAAUGGAAAACAGUUACAAAAUGAUUUAUAGGGAUAUGCAGUUGCAAAAGAGAGCGAGAGGAAAGAGGAGAAAUCAAUUUUCAAUGUAAUUUUACAUUUUUUAUCAUUUCGUAGUUGCUUGCCUUUGUCAUUACAUCUACAACUACUAAUGAGGAAUACCAAACCGUCACAUAUCAGCAAUAAUUCUAAAAAUUGGAAAAGAAAAGAAAAGUUCAAAAUGGUUCUGUACAAAUUACAAUAUCAUCUUUUCUUAGCAGCUACAAAAUCUUUUCUGUUUUGUUUUACUCUUCUUCAGUAAUUCCCUCAGGAUAAAUCUGCAGUAAAGAAAUGAACAUGUAAAAAUGAAAAUAUCAGUAAAGAAUUAUAUAUACAUAUACAUAUAUAUACGAAGAAAGAGCGAAAAAAGAAAAAUUGUCUCACCUGACUGCGAUUUUCUUCAUGGAAGCUUACAGUUCUAACUUUGAACUCCCCUCUGCUAGUAGUUAGCUCAUCUAACAUUUCCGCAUCAAACACUUGGAUUUUCCCUUCCUCAUUUCCUAAACCAGUUGCUUCAUUUUCCUGAUAAUUAAAAGGAAAAUGCACAAAUUAGUACUAAUCCAAAAAAAUGUAUAUAUAGACUAAAGAUUGAAUAAACAAAGAUUGAAUAAACAGAUGGACAUACUCUCAAAGAAAGGCUGAAAGAUAAUCGUGGAGCUCUGGUAAUUUCCUCAUAUUCAGCUGCACCUAGUUCUCGUAAAUGAUGACUAAAUAGUUUAGGAAAUAUGUGCUGCUUAUCCAAAUCAGAAUAAAGAAGCGCAAUGGAAACAGAACUCCAGCUAUUGGAACCCAUGUAACACCAAAACAGACCAGGAAAUACACCAACUGUAUGAGUGUAAAAAUAGCAGUGUACUUGAAUGGAACUGAUUCAAGAAAUGAAGCAUGAACUCUUUCCAACACCCUGUCAAAAGAAAAUUAUCAGCAAACAUAUAUACUAACUUCAAGAAACCAUAUGCAAUAAAAUAUUUAACUAAAAAAACUUUACUUGUAGCGCCUUCCAGGCAUGACGAAAAGAAGUAGUAUUCUUUCCCAGAACUGAUUUCCAGGUAAACUGUCAAUAGCCAUGUACGCAAAGUAUCCCCAGAGAACUGAUGUAGGUAUUAGCUUUAUUGCAGGCAUAGCGCAUACUGAUCCUGCUACUAGAAGCGACUGCAAAAGAUUGCUCACUCUUUGUUCAUUAACUCUAACAGGCAAGUAAGCAUCAAUAUGCUUCUCAGGAUCAAUUGCAUAUUUGGGAUUUUCUUCCUUGUCUUCCCCUUUCCUCACUGCCUCCUUCAAGUCUUCCAGCUCUUUAGCUACUGCAAUCUGCAGUUAAACGCAGACUUUGAGUAUUAGCAAUUGUUUGAUACAUUGGGGACAUACUUGUGCAAUUCUACAUUUGGACUUACAGCUGGACUACUGUCCAUUUCUAUGAAUAAAGCUUGCAUCUUGCCAUAUAUUUCCGAGUUGCUAGCUUUCUGUUUGAUGCUUUCUUUAGCACUUUCAACCAUUUUCCUCCGAAUCAACUGCACAUUAUUAGACCGAUUAAAGAAGUACAGUUUAUGGACCUUACACUAUAAGAAAGUACUCCUUUGAGUAGUUAAAAGAAAAAAACUGGAUACUAAUAAGCAUUAGAAAAAACACACCAUAACCAAAAACCUUUCACUAACAUUUCAUAUGUUAUUAAUUAUUACUUCUAACAUGCAUCAAACUAUGUUAAAUCUUUUAUUUGUUGUGGUGUUACCUGUCUCUUUAGGACAGCAAGGCUCUUUGUGUGCAUCGGCGACUGGGGUAGAACUCCAUUUGUAGGAGGUAGUCCAAGCAAUCCACAAAGCAAAGUCUGGAAAACCAUUUAGAUAAUAAUUGAAUAUAGGGUUUUGGAAGAAAGCAUAGGAAAAUAGACGGUUUAAGGUAUUAUAUAGGCACGUACCAGAAAUCCUAGCAAUAAAAUGUCAUAAUGGUAUGCAGAAGGAUUUUUAAGAUUGAACUCCUUUUGUUGUGCAAGCUGCGAAGCUACACUGUGGUCGAAAAAGUAAAGUCCUGCUAUCAUCAGAGCAGGAAUAAAGGCUGCAAAGAUGUAUGCUGGAGGAACAUUUCCCAUAUCCUGAAGAUUGAAUAAACAGAUGGACAUACUCUCAAAGAAAGGCUGAAAGAUAGUCGUGGAGCUCUGGUAAUUUCCUCAUAUUCAGCUGCAUCUAGUUCUCGUAAAUGAUGAGGACUAAACAGUUUUUAGAGGCUGAGUCCAGCAUGGGUAUACCAGGCCCAACUCGAAGAACCAAAACUAAUGAUCAUAACAUGUCUGUGGAUUGACAAUGUUUAAUUUCAAAUAACAUGGCCUUUGCUGUUCAUUUUUAGAUAAAAAUUUUUGGUGACUAAAAAGCAUUUACAGAACGAGAAACUUAAGACAUAAAUAACAGCAAAAGCUUAGGGAGAACUUGAACAAGGAGAGGAUACUACUAGUACAAGACACACGAAUCUUCUUAUUAACAAAUAAAUUGAUAGACUCGCCUAUUACAAGUUAAUUAGAAAAAGUAACCUCAUUUCAGUCAAGCUAAUGCAAUAUUGUGUCCGGUUUACAUUAAACUUCUGUAUGCUUUACAGCUGAAUCCCCCAAAUUCUUCAUCAAACUCAAACCAAGUUCGACAAUAUCAAUUUUCCCCAGAAGAACAUCCGAGAAUUCAGGUACUUGUUCUUGAUACUUGAUCACAAACAUGUCCAAGAAUUUUUCUUCAGAAUAUCCAAGAAUAGAAGCUAAACUGAUUUCUGCUCUGAUCAAACCCUUCAGAAUCAAAACUCUUAAAACUGAACACCUUGGAACAACCCUCUUAUCGAAACUAUAACAUAAAACAACUGGAUAUUUUGCAACAAUUGCAGGCUGCCAACCCAUUUUGUUCACAAGAAAAUCUAUCUUCUUUAUAAUUGUCUUCUCUGAGUAACCCAUACACAGUGGACGCUUUUUGAUAACAGACCAUAUUUCUUCUUCCGAAAAACCCGACCUACUGUAAGCAUCAAUUUUUCGCUUCCAUGUUUUGGAUUUCAUUUGAAUUAUCACUCGAAGAGCAUCGGCAAAUGAAAGAUUCAGAGGAUCAAAUCCCAUACCUAUAACAUUGUUGACAGCUUCACUAAACUUUUCAGAAUUUGUGCAUACAGUGUUGGGGCAACUGGUAAUCAAAAUAGAGAUGGUAGAUUGACGCAUUCCGAGCUCCCUUAAGACUGAUAAAUUGACAGGCAAGUGUUCCUUGACAUAGCACAUAUUGAAUGCUGAUAUGCGUUUCAAUAUAAUAAGCACUUUCUCAUCAGAAAAUAACAAACUUUUAAUAACAGCAUAAACUGGGAUCAAAAGAUUGUUCAAGCUGCCAGACAAGAAAACUGGGUUCUUAGAUAUCAUCACCGGAAGGUCUAAGCCAGAAACCCCAAUAGAACGUAAAAAU